GGCCAGAGCCGACCCCAGGAGUGAGAGAGACAGGGGCGCGCGUGAGUUCCGGCGGCCUGCACCGGGCAAACCCGUACCUUCCCAGCAUAGGCUCAGCAACCCACGUGCAUCCAGGCCGGUUAAUGUCAUUGAGUCACUUCCGCGCCUUGGCCACCCUGGAGUCCCGAGAAUCCGAAGUUCCAGACAAAUGCCCAAACUACAUUCCUACAUGUUCGAAAGCGUAAAUUGCAAAGCACAAAUCCAGUUGUAGAUUGUGGCCGGGAGCAGUGGCUGACGCCUGUAAUCCCAGCACUUUGGGAGGCCGAGGCGGACGGAUCACGAGGUCAGCACUUCGAGACCAGCAUGGCCAACAUGGUGAAGCCCCAUCUCUACUAAAAAUACAAACAUUAGCCAGGCAUGGUGGCAGGCCCCUGUAAUCCCAGCUACUCGGUAGGCUGAGGCAGGAGAAUCACUUGAACCCGGGAGGCAGAGGUUUCAGUGAGCUGAGACUGCACCAUUGCACUCCAGCCUGGGCGACAGACCAAGACUCCAUCUCAAAAAAAAAAAAAAAAAAAAAAAGUUAUAGAUCGUAAGGAAAAUACCCCCAAGGAAGUUGAGGACACAGCAGAGUUGGACUGUCUCCAAACCUGUUCAUUCUUCUGAGUGCACUGCUCGGAGCAUCCUAUUGGGCAGCAUAUCCUGGCCUCCUUUCCAGUUCGAUGUGGUAAUAUACCUGAUUUCUGGCCAAUAAAAUAUGAGAGGACAUGAAAUUCAACAGCCCCUGGGCUUGGCUUAUAAAACCUUCCAUGCAAUCCUCCAAACCUUUUCACCUCUCAGCUGCUGAGACUUUUCUAGGCACUACACAGAAGCAGCCUGGGUCUCCAGUAGCAAAGGAGAGCAGAUCCUUCUCACUAUCCUGCACCGAACUGUGACAUGAGCAAAAAAUAAAGUUUUUAUUUUCUUACACCAUUGAGACUUGAGGAUUGCUAGAGCAGUUAGUCUUCCCAGCCUAAUACAGUAUUAGUAGAGGACAAUUAGGCCAGACACAGUAGCUUAUGCCUAUAAUCACAGCAGUUUAUAAGGCCGAGGUGGGCAGAUCACCUGAUGUCAGGAGUUUGAGACCAGCCUGGCCGACAUGGUGAAACCCCAGCUCUACAAAAAAUACAAAAAUUAGCCAAACAUGGUGGCACGUGCCUGUGAUCCCAGCUACUCAGGAAGCUGAGGCAGGAAAAUCUUCAAGCCAGGAGGCGGAGGUUGCAGUGAACCAAGAUUGUACCAGUGCACUCCAGCCUGGGCGACAGAGUGAGACUCUGUCUCAAAAAUAAAUAAAUAAACAACAAAAAACCUUUUUCAGAAUAAAAACAUACAUUAACAAUAUAAGGAAUGGCCGGGCACGGUGGCUUACACCUCUCACCCCAGCACUUUGAGAGGCCCAGGUGAGCAGAUCACCUUAGGGCAGGAGUUUGAGACCAGCCUGGCCAACAUGGGGAAACCCUGUCUCUACUAAAAAUACAAAAAUUAGUCCGGGCGCAGUGGCUCACGCCUGUAAUCCCAGCACUUUGGGAGGCCGAGAUGGGCAGAUCACGAGGUCAGGAGAUCGAGGCCAUCCUGG
rnacentral:lncRNA from 1 species